rnacentral:misc_RNA from 1 species
AAGAUGCAAAUUGCUUUGUCUCAAAAUCGUGGCAUUCAAUAAAAUUGGCGCUCAACCACCAAAAAUAGCCCAGGUUAGGUGGGGUGUGAUUCUGGUUUAGACAAUUUUCCAUCUCUUACGAUCUUAAAGAUGAAAAAGAAGUGAACAUAUAACUAUCUGCAAUGAAUGGUAGCUAAUGAUCACCCAUGCAUCCAUACCUAUUUCAUCAUAAUUUUGUUCAAUCCAGUGUUUUUAAAUAGAGAAACAGCAUCAGUCAUGCAGCUUAGAAAACAGAAGCAAAUCAUUGCAUAGUCACAUUCAACUUCAAUACCCCAAAAAUAUAGCAACACAUGCACCAAAUCUGCGAGAAAAAAAAAAAAAAGGGGAAAGGGAGG